rnacentral:rRNA from 1 species
GUCCACGCCGUAAACGAUGGGUGCUAGGUGUGGGGAGUGUCGACUCUCUCUGUGCCGAAGCUAACGCAUUAAGCACCCCGCCUGGGGAGUACGGCCGCAAGGCUAAAACUCAAAGGAAUUGACGGGGGCCCGCACAAGCAGCGGAGCAUGUGGUUUAAUUCGACGCAACGCGAAGAACCUUACCAGGGCUUGACAUGCACGGGAAUGUCGUAGAAAUACGGCAGCCCUUCGGUGCUCGUGCACAGGUGGUGCAUGGCUGUCGU